GAUUGUUCACCCACCAAUAGGGAACGUGAGCUGGGUUUAGACCGUCGUGAGACAGGUUAGUUUUACCCUACUGAUGUCAGUGUCGCAAUAGUAAUUCAACCUAGUACGAGAGGAACCGUUGAUUCGCACAAUUGGUCAUCGCGCUUGGUUGAAAAGCCAAUGGCGCGAAGCUACCGUGCGCAAGAUUAUGACUGAACACCUCUAAGUCAGAAUCUGGGCUAGAAGCAACGCAUGCGCCCGCCGCCCACUUGCCGACCCGCAGUAGGGGCCAUCCGGCCCCCAAAGGCACGUGUCAUUGGUGAAGCUCGCGCGGCGGAUAAGCCGCGCGGGCCGCCUUGAAGUACAACUCCUAUGUCGAGCGGUGGGUAGAAUCCUCUGCAGAUGACUUAAAUAUGCGAUGGGGUAUUGCAAGUGGCAGAGUGGCCUUACUGCCACGAUCCACUGAGAUUCAGCCCUGCGUCGCUCCGAUUCGUCCCUCCC
rnacentral:rRNA from 1 species